AGCCGAAACCGCCGCAAGGCGGUCAGCAGGAAAUGACCUACCUGCUCUGAUGAUGGCAGGUCAAA
rnacentral:hammerhead_ribozyme from 1 species